rnacentral:rRNA from 1 species
GGCGCCGGGCGGCGUGUCCACAACUUGCAAGUUCGAAGCGAACAGACGAAGGAAGCUUGCUCCUCCUGACGUUAGCGGCGGACGGGUGAGUAACACGUGGAUAACCUACCUAUAAGACUGGGAUAACUUCGGGAAACCGGAGCUAAUACCGGAUAAUAUAUUGAACCACAUGGUUCAAUAGUGAAAGACGGUUUUGCUGUCACUUAUAGAUGGAUCCGCGCCGCAUUAGCUAGUUGGUAAGGUAACGGCUUACCAAGGCAACGAUGCGUAGCCGACCUGAGAGGGUGAUCGGCCACACUGGAACUGAGACACGGUCCAGACUCCUACGGGAGGCAGCAGUAGGGAAUCUUCCGCAAUGGGCGAAAGCCUGACGGAGCAACGCCGCGUGAGUGAUGAAGGUCUUCGGAUCGUAAAACUCUGUUAUUAGGGAAGAACAAAUGUGUAAGUAACUAUGCACGUCUUGACGGUACCUAAUCAGAAAGCCACGGCUAACUACGUGCCAGCAGCCGCGGUAAUACGUAGGUGGCAAGCGUUAUCCGGAAUUAUUGGGCGUAAAGCGCGCGUAGGCGGUUUUUUAAGUCUGAUGUGAAAGCCCACGGCUCAACCGUGGAGGGUCAUUGGAAACUGGAAAACUUGAGUGCAGAAGAGGAAAGUGGAAUUCCAUGUGUAGCGGUGAAAUGCGCAGAGAUAUGGAGGAACACCAGUGGCGAAGGCGACUUUCUGGUCUGUAACUGACGCUGAUGUGCGAAAGCGUGGGGAUCAAACAGGAUUAGAUACCCUGGUAGUCCACGCCGUAAACGAUGAGUGCUAAGUGUUAGGGGGUUUCCGCCCCUUAGUGCUGCAGCUAACGCAUUAAGCACUCCGCCUGGGGAGUACGACCGCAAGGUUGAAACUCAAAGGAAUUGACGGGGACCCGCACAAGCGGUGGAGCAUGUGGUUUAAUUCGAAGCAACGCGAAGAACCUUACCAAAUCUUGACAUCCUCUGACCCCUCUAGAGAUAGAGUUUUCCCCUUCGGGGGACAGAGUGACAGGUGGUGCAUGGUUGUCGUCAGCUCGUGUCGUGAGAUGUUGGGUUAAGUCCCGCAACGAGCGCAACCCUUAAGCUUAGUUGCCAUCAUUAAGUUGGGCACUCUAAGUUGACUGCCGGUGACAAACCGGAGGAAGGUGGGGAUGACGUCAAAUCAUCAUGCCCCUUAUGAUUUGGGCUACACACGUGCUACAAUGGACAAUACAAAGGGCAGCGAAACCGCGAGGUCAAGCAAAUCCCAUAAAGUUGUUCUCAGUUCGGAUUGUAGUCUGCAACUCGACUAUAUGAAGCUGGAAUCGCUAGUAAUCGUAGAUCAGCAUGCUACGGUGAAUACGUUCCCGGGUCUUGUACACACCGCCCGUCACACCACGAGAGUUUGUAACACCCGAAGCCGGUGGAGUAACCAUUUGGAGCUAGCCGUCGAAGGUGGGACAAAUGAUUGGGGGUGAAGUCGUAACAAGG